GUUUGGUCCGAAGGUAGUGAGUUACCUUAAUAGAUUGUUCACAGUCAGUUACAGAUGGAAAACCUUGUUCUAUUUUUUCUCCCCUUCUCACUACUGCACUUGACUAGUCUUAA
ensembl:misc_RNA Y_RNA Y RNA